AAAAAAGGGUUGGAUUUGGACGCUUGCGGCGGUUUCCUCCCGCCGCUCGUCUUCAAACGCAUCAGCUUGGCCCUUUAGAGUCGGUUCGACGACGGUGUGAUAACAAACGCUUCGUUGACAGUGGCGCCGUUUGGGGGCCGACUCUGACCCGGGGUUGCUCAUAGCCGUCUUCGGACAAUGUUUUCAUGUCAUCUGACCUCAAAUCAGGUAGGACUACCCGCCGAACUUAAGCAUAUCAAUAAGCGGAGGAAAAGAAACUAACAAGGAUUCCCCUAGUAACGGCGAGUGAAGCGGGAAGAGCUCAAAUUUGUAAUCUGGCGGUCUAUGGCCGUCCGAGUUGUAGUCUGGAGAAGCGUUUUCUGCGUCGGACCGUGUACAAGUCCCUUGGAACAGGGCGUCACAGAGGGUGAGAAUCCCGUCUUUGACACGGACUGCCGGCGCUUUGUGAUGCGCUCUCGAAGA
rnacentral:rRNA from 1 species